rnacentral:rRNA from 1 species
UGUAUAGCAAUAGCUGCUUACAUCAUUGUAGAUAUGAUGUAAGAUCGACUAUGUCGAAUAAAAUUCUAGGUAGAAUUAUGAUAAUGACAUUGUCUGCCUAUGUGUCUUGACCAAAUUACGUGCCAGCAGUCGCGGUAAUACGUAGAAGCCUAGUGUUAUUCAUGUUUAAUCGGUUUAAAGGGUACCUAGACGGUAAAUCAAGCCUAAAAUAAAAUAAAUGAAGGGACUAAUUUACUAGAGUUACUUAUGAGGGGGUAUUAAAGUACUGCUGGUGUAGAGAUGAAAUUCUGUCAUACCUCUUUUCAAUAGAAAAAUAAUGGCACAGGUAUAGGCGAAAGCAUCCCCUUAUGUGAUAACUGACGUUGAGGGACGAAGGCUUUGUGUAGCGAACAGGAUUAGAUACCCCAGUAGUCAAAGCAGAAAAUGAUGAAUGUCAUAGAUUAGAAGAUAAAUAAGUUUAUUCUAUAAAUGAAAGUGUAAGCAUUCCACCUCAAGAGUAAUUUGGCAACAUUGGAACUGAAAUCAUUAGACCGUUUCUGAAACCAGUAGUGAAGUAUGUUGUUUAAUUUGAUGAUCCGCAAAAAACCUUACCACAAUUUGAAUAUUUAUAUCUUUUAUUGUUUUCUUUUUAAUUUUCUUCUGAUUUUUCUCCUUAUCUUUUUAUUAUUUUUAUAAUAAAAAAGAGAAAAUGAAUAAAAAAGAAGAAAAAAGAGACAAUAAGAUAUAUUUACAAGCGUUGCACGGCUGUCUUCAGUUAGUGUCGCGAGACUUUGGUUAGUUCCAUUAAAUUAACGUAAACCCUUACUUUAUUUUUAUAUAGAGUAGUUCCCCGCUAGAUUGGAUAUGAU